UAACCUCAUUGCUCUGUGCAGCCUUAUGAGGAGGAGAAGCAAAGAAAGAGGUGCCAGGCUCUGCUUCUGGGAGAGAAAGGUAGGAGAUGUGGGAACAGCACAGAAGUAUGUCAGGAGUGAGCAAUAAUAAUUCACUCCCCUUUGAGACAAAUGGUGAGGAAAGGAGAGCAUACAACUGAGAGCAGGAAAGCUGAACUGAAAACCUGUGGGGACGUGGAAGAUUCCAAAAGACACUUUCACCAUGACUCAAAAUGGAGCAUCCCUAAAUCGCUGUAGCUGCCACAUUUCUGGAUACUGUUUCCUGCUUUAUCUGCAUUACCAAGAGAAAUUACACAGGAUAAGACCCAGAAUGAAACCCUAGCCCUCUGGCCCAGGCAGGGUGUUUCCAGGAGUCAGCAGAAAGCUCAUUAUUUGCCCUUGCAGCAGUGAAUGAAGAGAGCUGACACUGCGAGAACCAUACAGGCCAAAAGAUUAAUUCUGAUGAAUUUGUGCAUGUUGAGAGUUGUAUACAAUCCUUCUGAAUCCCAUGUUAUCCUUUAGGCACACAGCUCUAGUUAAACACCCUUUCACAGCUCAAAAGAGGCCUUUCAAGACUCUGCUGGGCCGAGUCCCUGAACUCACAUUCCAGUUGAAUUUGAUGCUUCUAAUCUGGACAUUGGUUCCCUGUCUUUUCCAGUGCUCAAAAUGAUGCAUAUCUUGGCAGAGCCCACUUUAUCACUGACAGCAUGUUACAGGGAAAGGAGUGAGCUGUGUCCUACCUGCUCUGCCUUCAAGCACAUCUGUACCAAGCAGGGUGCUGGGGCUGUUACUUAAAGUAUUCAUACAUGAACACAAAGUCUGGCUGAUUGUGCAUAUUAAUGUGCAAUGUGUUCAGGUGUCUCAUGCAAAGUAUUUAUUAUAAUUUAUUAUGCUUUUUCUGAUCUUUUAUGAAACAUCUUAACAACUUGGGCUGCUAACAUCUGAGAGAAACACUUCUUGUCAGACAUCUUGGCAUUUCUGUCUUGUAAUUUUCUUCUUUUCCAUUGCUAAAAACAAUUUCAAAAAGUAGUUUUGCUUCUGAAUAGUGCAUGCUGUUUAUAUUUGAAACCAUGAUCCCUGGCUUUUGACUGAGGUCUGUAAAGAUCAUAAUCCUGCUUUAUUAAUGCUGAUCCUUGGAGUACAGACUCUAUCUCUUGUUAUUGCUAUUGCAAAAGCCAAUUAGAUUGCAUGAGCCUCCAACAGCAAUUGCAGAACGAGCAGUAGAAGCUGCUAAACUGCUGGAAAUCAAGUACUGUACCUUGCUAUACAUAAUUAUGCUGUUGUGAUAUUUUAUAUGUGUUAUAUUUCUGAAUUUUUAGGACGAAUAUUUUAUAAUUGCAUUCAAAUUUGUCUUGACAUACUCAGAAAAUGCUAACUGUUGAAUUGUCCGUACAAGACUUAAAGCUCACCUUGUAUAGCUUGGGAUACCUCUGGCAUCAGGCUUUCUGCAAGCAUGUUCAUCCCAAGGAAGGUGCUCUUGUGCUCACCUUGAGCACCUGAAGUCCAGGUCUUAUAAGUCAGUUGGCUGGUCUAAGAGUCCACCUUGCUGAGCUGUAAUAAGCAGUAAUAUCUCUGUUUAUAUAUAACUCUGUGAAUUUUUGGAUGAUACACUGUGAUUCUCAGUGCAUCCCAAGCAAGAACUGCUGCAUGUAUUGGUGCACAGCAGAACAAACUAGUCAGGUUUGAGUCUUGUAGGAAAGUUCAGUAAUACACAGCCAGACACAUUCCUGACUUUCAAAGGUUUUGUCAUCUCCAUCUCUUCCUGCCAGAAACAAACCAGUUCAUGGAUCUGUGGGGUACACUGCUCCAAUCUGCUACUGGAUGAUUUAGGGAGCCCUUAGGCUGAUAUUUCAAUGCCUUUGAUCACAUUUUACUUGUAGCAAGAAUAUCUCGCUGUGCAGAACACCCUCUCUUGGCCUCUCUCCUGGAGAUUUUCUGUUCUGUUCAUUGCUGUAUUCUGUAAUGCAGUCUGAAAAGAAAUGACUCAUUUGUAGUGUUGGGUAAUAAGCUAUUGAAGAAAAAUAAAAGAAAAAAUUGAUUGCAUUUUUGAUAGUCAGA